AUGGAUCCGCAGGCGGCGGAGGGGCAGGACGCGGCGGCGGCGGUGCUGGGCGCGGACCCGGCGCCGCUGACGGCGCUGCUGGGGGACCUGGCGUCGCCGGCCAACGAGGCGCGGUCGCGGGCGGAGCGGACGUUCCACGCGCUGCGGGCCUCCCACCCGGACCCGCUCGCGCUGCGCCUCGCCCACCUGCUGCUCUCCCCGGCGCACCCCGCCGCGCCCAUGGCCGCCGUGCUCCUCCGCCGCCUCAUCUCCCCGGGCUCCCAGGCCUUCGUCUACCCGGCGCUCGCGCCCGCCACGCAGUCCUCGCUCCGCGCGCUGCUCCUCUCCGCCGCCUCCGCGCCCGGCCUCUCCAGGUCAAUCUCGAAGAAGCUCUCCGACGCCGUCGCCGAGCUCGCCACCCACCUGCUGCCCUCCGGCUCCUGGCCCGACCUCCUCACCUUCCUCUACAAGUCUGUCGCCUCCCCGUCCUCGCCCCCCGCGCUGCAGGAGUCGGCGCUCAACACCCUCGCCAGGCUCGCCUCCCACCUCGCCGCCGGCUUCCCCGACCUCCACGCGCUCCUCCUCGCCGCGCUCUCGCACCCCUCCUCCGCCGACGUCCGCGUCGCCGGCCUCAACGCCGCCAUCAGCGUCAUCCAGUCCCUCCCCUCCGCCGCCGAGCGCGACCGGUUCCAGGACCUCCUCCCCGCCAUGAUGCGCGCCCUGGCCGAGUCGCUCAACUGCGGCAACGAGGGCUCCGCGCAGGAGGCGCUCGAGAUGAUGAUUGAGCUCGCUGGCCUGGAGCCGCGCUUCCUCCGCCGCCAGCUGCCCGACGUCGUCGCCUCCAUGCUGCAGAUUGCCGAGGCCCCUGGAUUGGAGGAUGGCACACGCCACCUCGCUGUCGAGUUCGUUGUUACCCUUGCCGAGGCGAGGGAGCGUGCGCCUGGGAUGAUGAGGAGGCUGCCACGGUACGUCGGCAGGCUCUUUGCGGUGGUCAUGAACAUGCUGCUUGAUGUCCAGGAUGAGCCGGCAUGGUACGCCGCAGUGUCCGAGGAGGAGGACGCUGGGGAAACUGGAAGCUUUGUUUUUGCACAGGAGUGUCUUGACCGGCUUGCAAUUGCUGUUGGUGGCAACACCAUCUUGCCUGUGGCUGCUGAGUUGCUCCCAUCGUUUAUCGGUGCUGAAGAGUGGAAGAGACGGCAUGCGGCACUCAUGACGAUAUCACAGAUUGCAGAAGGCUGUGCUAAGGUGAUGACUAAGAAUCUCGAUCAGGUAGUUGGGAUGGUGCUCAAUUCUUUCAAUGAUCCUCACCCUCGGGUGAGGUGGGCAGCAAUCAAUGCAGUAGGGCAGCUUUCGACGGACUUGGGGCCUGAGUUGCAGAACAAGUUGCACCAUGUUGUACUCCCUGCGUUGGCUUCAGCCAUGGAUGAUUCCGAGAACCCACGCGUACAGGCACAUGCAGCUUCUGCAAUUCUGAACUUCAGCGAAAAUUGCAGACCCGAAAUUUUAACUCCAUACUUGGACGUGAUAGUCGGCAAACUUCUCCUGUUGCUUCAGUCUGGAAGCCAAAUGGUGCAAGAAGGUGCUUUGACCGCUUUAGCGUCAGCUGCAGAUUCUUCACAGGAACACUUCCAAAAAUAUUAUGAUGCAGUCAUGCCAUAUCUCAAGGCUAUACUCAUGAAUGCAACUGAUAAAUCAAGCAGAAUGUUGCGUGCCAAAUCAAUGGAAUGCAUAAGUUUAGUUGGUAUGGCUGUUGGGAAACAGAAAUUUAGGGAUGACGCUAAGCAGGUUAUGGAAGUUUUGAUGUCACUGCAAGGAUCUCACAUGGAGGCUGAUGACCCAAUAACGAGUUACAUGCUGCAAGCAUGGGCAAGACUUUGUAAGUGCCUUGGUCAGGAGUUCCUCCCCUACAUGAGUGUUGUUAUGCCCCCUCUACUUCAGUCUGCUCAGCUUAAACCAGAUGUGAGCGUCACUUCUGCAGGCGAGGAUGGUGAAUCUGAUGAUGAUGGUGUUGAGACUAUUACCCUGGGAGAUAAGAGGAUUGGCAUCAGGACCAGUCUCCUGGAGGAGAAAGCAACAGCAUGCAGUAUGCUGUGUUGCUAUGCUGAUGAGCUCAAGGAAGGGUUUUUCCCAUGGAUUGAUCAGGUUGCAACUACUCUGGUACCUCUCCUCAAAUUCUAUUUUCAUGACGAAGUUAGGAAGGCAGCUGUUUCAGCGAUGCCUGAGCUUCUGCGUUCAGCAAAAUUGGCAGUAGAAAAAGGCCAAGCUCAAGGCCGGGAUAAUUCUUAUCUUAAGCAACUAUCUGAUUACAUAGUUCCAGCUCUUGUAGAGGCUAUGCAUAAAGAACCUGACACACAAAUUUGUGCAAGCAUACUGGAGUCAUUGAACGAGUCAAUUCAGAUGUCAGGAACACUUCUCGAUGAAGGCCAGGUUAGAUAUAUAGUGGAGGGAAUCAAAGAAGUAAUAACAGCAAGCUCUAAUAGGAGGACAGAACGAACAGAGAGGGCGAACGCUGAAGACUUUGAUUCAGAAGAAGACGAGCUACUGAGGGAAGAAAACGAACAGGAGGAUGAAAUAUUUGAUCAAGUUGGCGAUUGUUUGGGCACUCUGGUCAAAACUUUUAAGACUUACUUCCUUCCAUUCUUUGAUGAACUCUCUGUCUACUUGACACCUAUGUUGGGCAAGGAUAAGACAUCAGAAGAAAGAAGAGUCACCAUUUGCAUUUUUGAUGAUGUUGCAGAACACUGUCGAGAAGCAGCAGUUAGGUAUUAUGACACAUAUCUUCCUUCUCUGUUAGAAGCCUGCGCAAGUGAAAACCCAGAUGUUAGACAGGCUGCAGUUUAUGGUAUUGGCAUCUGUGCUGAGUUUGGUGGUUCUGCAUUUAGGCCUCAUACUGGGGAGGCACUGUCCAGAUUAUACGAUGUAAUCAAACAUCCUAAUGCAUUGGAUUUGGAUAAUGCAAUGGCAUAUGACAAUUCUGUUUCCGCUCUUGGAAAGAUAUGUCAAUUUCAUCGUGAUAGCAUUGAUGCAUCUCAGGUCAUUCCUGCUUGGUUAAGUUGUUUGCCAUUGAAAAAUGACCUAGUUGAGGCCAAGAUUGUCCAUGAACAGAUGUGUGCAAUGCUUGAGAAGUCCGACAGUGAGCUUUUGGGCCAUAAUAAUCAACAUCUUCCAAAGAUUGUAUCUACUUUUGCAGAGAUCUUGUGUGCAGGCAAGGAUCUGGCAACAGAACAGACUGCUAGCAAGAUAGUUAAUCUGCUAAGACAGCUCCAAACCACUCUGCCUCCUUCAGUACUUGCCUCGACAUGGUCUACUCUUCAGCCACAGCAACAGCUCGCGUUACAAUCUGUAUUGACAUCAUAG
rnacentral:rRNA from 1 species